UACGACGGCGAUAUCAGCUUGAGAAUGCACAAUCUCGUCUGAUCUCAGAAGCUAAACAAGGCUGAGUCUGGGUAGUACUUGGAUGGGAGACAGCUGGAAAUACCUAGUACCGCUGUUC
rnacentral:rRNA from 1 species